AGUGAACGCUGGCGGUAGGCCUAACACAUGCAAGUCGAACGGCAGCACAGUAAGAGCUUGCUCUUACGGGUGGCGAGUGGCGGACGGGUGAGGAAUACAUCGGAAUCUACUUUUUCGUGGGGGAUAACGUAGGGAAACUUACGCUAAUACCGCAUACGACCUACGGGUGAAAGCAGGGGAUCUUCGGACCUUGCGCGAUUGAAUGAGCCGAUGUCGGAUUAGCUAGUAGGCGGGGUAAAGGCCCACCAAGGCGACGAUCCGUAGCUGGUCUGAGAGGAUGAUCAGCCACACUGGAACUGAGACACGGUCCAGACUCCUACGGGAGGCAGCAGUGGGGAAUAUUGGACAAUGGGCGCAAGCCUGAUCCAGCCAUACCGCGUGGGUGAAGAAGGCCUUCGGGUUGUAAAGCCCUUUUGUUGGGAAAGAAAAGCAGCAGGUUAAUACCCCGCUGUUCUGACGGUACCCAAAGAAUAAGCACCGGCUAACUUCGU
rnacentral:rRNA from 1 species